UACGUAGGGGGCAAGCGUUGUCCGGAUUUAUUGGGCGUAAAGAGCGUGUAGGCGGCUAGAUAGGUCCGUUGUGAAAACUCGAGGCUCAACCUCGAGACGUCGAUGGAAACCAUCUGGCUAGAGUCCGGAAGAGGAGAGUGGAAUUCCUGGUGUAGCGGUGAAAUGCGCAGAUAUCAGGAAGAACAUCGGUGGCGAAGGCGCUCUGCUGGACCAUAACUGACACUCAGGGACGAAAGCUAGGGGAGCGAAUGGG
rnacentral:rRNA from 1 species